UCUACACAUACGUGGCUUAAAGUGUGGGACUGGGGCUGUUCCUGGAAGUUAGCACGAACAGAUGACACUUGUAGGAGGGUUUAUUUGAUGGCUGAGUCUGACAUACUAGUUGGAUCUUGGUAGAUUGUAUUACGUGAUUCCAUGUAAACUGUGAAAAAGCAGCUCUGUUUACCUGUUUUUAUUGCAGCUCGGUGCUGUUUCCAGUGGAAGUAUUGAGUAUCCC